rnacentral:tRNA from 1 species
GGGCCCGUAGCUCAGCUAGGUAGAGCGGCGGGCUCCAGACCCGUAGGUCGGGGGUUCAAAUCCCCCCGGGCCCACCA